rnacentral:rRNA from 1 species
UACAGAGGGGGCAAGCGUUGUUCGGAAUUACUGGGCGUAAAGGGCGCGUAGGCGGCCUUCUAAGUCGAACGUGAAAUCCCCGGGCUCAACCCGGGAACUGCGUCCGAUACUGGAAGGCUUGAAUCCGGGAGAGGGAUGCGGAAUUCCAGGUGUAGCGGUGAAAUGCGCAGAUAUCAGGAGGAACACCGGUGGCGAAGGCGGAUCUCUGGGCCUUACCUGACGCUCAGGUGCGAAAGCGUGGGGAGCAAACAGG